rnacentral:tRNA from 1 species
GGACGGGUGGCCGAGUGGCUGAAGGCACCGGUCUCGAAAACCGGCAUACCGGCAACGGUAUCGUGAGUUCGAAUCUCACCCCGUCCG